rnacentral:snRNA from 2 species
AUCGCUUCUUGGCCUUUUGGCUAAGAUCAAGUGUAGGAAGAUGGCAAGAAAAUAUUAAAAUAAUUAAAAACACAAAACUAAA